UUCUACACACUGAUAAAACUCCAAUAG
rnacentral:piRNA from 1 species